rnacentral:rRNA from 1 species
UACAGAGGUCUCAAGCGUUGUUCGGAUUCACUGGGCGUAAAGGGUGCGUAGGCGGCCUGGUAAGUCUGUUGUGAAAUCUCCAAGCUUAACUUGGAAACUGCAGUGGAUACUAUCCGGCUAGAGGAAUGGAGGGGAGACUGGAAUACUUGGUGUAGCAGUGAAAUGCGUAGAUAUCAAGUGGAACACCAGUGGCGAAGGCGAGUCUCUGGACAUUUCCUGACGCUGAGGCACGAAAGCCAGGGGAGCAAACGGG